CAUGGAGGCGGUUUCACCCAUACAGUUCUCAUGGUAGUGAAUAAGUCUCACGAGAUCUGGUGGUUUUAUAAAUGGGAGUUCCUGCGCACAAGCUCUCUUGCCUCCCGCCUUGUGAGAUGUGACUUUGUUCCUCAUUUGCCUUCUGCCACGAUUGUGCGACCUCCCCAGCCGUGCGGAACUGAACACUUGUGUCAGGUUUCUAUUUCAGUAACCAUAAUCACUAAUAACUAAGGGAACACAAAAGUCCAUCAAUGAGAAGUCAUCUCUUAACUGUGGAAGGCCAGCAGUUAAUAUACUGGACCACAAAAUGAAAUCAAGUGAUGCAAGUUCUUCCCUCAAUCUAAGAACCUGCAGAAUACCAAGACAAGUGUUUCAAGAAUCAUCCAGAAAGGUCAGUUUUAAACUAUAUGUUUAAAGCAGAAACAUUACUUGGCAUGGGGCUUUCUAGGUAAAAAAGGAAGACAUAAUAUAAUUGGCUUAGAUCCUAAGAGUUUUUCUUCUCUUUAUUUGCAAGAUAAGUUGAUUAACUUCAAUUAUUAAUAGCCAAAACUUGUGCCUCCUAAUUAGAUCUAUACUCUAGUGAGAUAUAAUCUCAUAAUUAAGCACCCAAAGUUUUUGUUGUUAAAAAAAAUUAUCAGCCAAUAAUAAAACUUUUAAUGACUGUAGCAAGUUGACACUUUCUGGUUUUCUAUCCAACUAUGCAGUAUAGUCUUGUUUUUGGUACCACCAUUGUAAUUUACUGAGGAAUAAACAAGACAAGACAGAGAAGCACACAGCGCUUGCUAGAUACUCUUAAAGUAUAUGAUACUUAAAAUAGCAUCCUUUCCUGGAUAUGAAGUUUUAUUCACAUUUGAAAAUAUAUUCUUAAGUUCUAAACUCUUCACUUUAAAAAGUGAGGGUAAGUAGAAUUAUUUUCAUUUUCCUUGAAAUAAUUUGAUCACAUCUAAGACAACAAAAAGAACCUAUUUAAAAAUACUGUUUUAAUAAGGUGACAGGUGAUGGUCCUCUGGCCAGGUAUUUAUUUAGAAACCACCACUUACAAGUCAAACUGGUAUUCCAAAGGGAGUAGUUAAAAACAAAAACAAGAAACAUACAACUAAUACAAUUUCUCUUACUCUUCACUUUUCUUUUUAUUAUUCAAAAGUCAAAUGUUUUUAAAUCAUCCAUCCUCAAU
rnacentral:lncRNA from 10 species